UGGCUGCAGUCGAGGAUCUUCCACAAUGGACGAAAGUCUGAUGGAGCGACGCCGCGUGCGGGAUGAAGGCCCUUGGGUUGUAAACCACUGUCGAGGGGAAUGAAAUGCGUGUGGGUACUCCCAUGCGUUUGACGGAACCCUGGAGGAAGCACGGGCUAAGUUCGUGCCAGCAGCCGCGGUAAGACGAAUCGUACAAACGUUACUCGGAAUUACUGGGCUUAAAGGGUGCGUAGGCUGCGCGAAAAGUUGGGUGUGAAAGCCCUCGGCUCAACCGAGGAAUUGCACUCAAAACUACCGUGCUCGAGGGAGACAGAGGUAAGCGGAACUCAAGGUGGAGCGGUGAAAUGCGUUGAUAUCUUGAGGAACACCGGUGGCGAAGGCGGCUUACUGGGUCUCUUCUGACGCUGAGGCACGAAAGCUAAGGUAGCAAACGGGAUUAGAUACCCCGGUAGUCUUAGCUGUAAACGAUGAGCACUUGUUUGAAGGGUCCUCCAUAGCCUUUCAGACGUAGCGAAAGUGUUAAGUGCUCCGCCUGGGGAGUAUGGUCGCAAGGCUGAAACUCAAAGAUAUUGACGGGGGCUCACACAA
rnacentral:rRNA from 1 species